GAUACUACACAAUAUAAGAGUCAUAGUACUAGAGCAGCAUCAACAUCUCAUUUAGCAUCCCAACAAUUUGACCUUAAAGAUAUCUUGAAUGCAGCUGGAUGGUCAAAAGAAGAGACUUUCAAACGUUUUUACCAUUUCAAAGAUAACAAUGAAUUUAACGUUGGAAGUGCUAUUAUGAAUACACUAUCCUAAACAAUUGCAUGGUCUAUUUGUAUAAUCAUUUUAUUAUGUGAUAUUUCCUUAUACUGUACAUUGUGUUUUUUCUUUCUUGCUGUUUAUUCUUCGGAUAUAAUAUUGGUGCAAUGCCAGCUCUAAAUUCUCGUACAACUACGUAACGACUAUAGCUAAUGACGUAAUAGAAUUGGAAAUUAAACGAGACUUACCUGUAAGUAGCCUGCGGUGCAGACGCUUCGUAUUUCAUAAUGAAAGGGUUUAAGCUUAAACCCUUUCAUUAUGAAAUACGAAGCGUCUGCACCGCAGGCUAACCUGUAAGUCGAAGUUUGAUUGUAAUUCUAUAAGUCAUUAGCGAGGAGUGGAGGAGUUGUAGGCCCACCCGUGAAAUUACACCCAGGCCCGAUUACCUCCUCCACUCCAGGCAUUGUACCAAUAUUAAUGCUCUAAAUACUGGUUAACUCAUGCGCGGUACUGUCUCUCCUACAACUCCUGCACUCCUCGCUAAUGACUUAUAGAAUUACAAUCAAACUUCGACUUACAGGUAAGUCUCGUUUAAUUUCCAAUU